GUUUGAUCAUGGCUCAGAUUGAACGCUGGCGGGAUGCUUUACACAUGCAAGUCAGAACGGCAGCACGGACUUCGGUCUGGUGGCGGAGUGAAGGCAGACAGGUGAGUAAUGUAUCGGUGCCUAGUAGCGGGGGAUAACUACGCGAAAGCGUAGCUAAUACCACAUACGCCCUUCAGGGGGAAAGCGGGGGACCCUUCGGGCCUCGCGCUAUUGAAACGGCCGAUAUCGGAUUCGCUAGUUGGUGGGGUAACGGCUCACCAAGGCGACGAUCCGUAGCUGGUUUGAGAGGACGACCAGCCACGCAGGACUGAGACACAGCCCAGACUCCUACGAGGCGGCAGUGGGGAAUUUUGGACAAUGGAAACCUGAUCCAGCCAUCCCGCGUGUGCGAUGAAGGCCUUCCGGGUUAUCAAGCUUUUGGCAGAAAACGGCACGGAUAAUACCCGUACGGCAGCGAACUGCAGAAUAAGCACCGGCUAACUACAUUGCCAGCAGCCGCGGUAGUGCAUGGUGCAAGAUAAUCGGGCGUAAGCGUGCGCAGGCGGUUCGGAAGAAGAUGUAAAUCGACUGCUGGAACUGCCAUUUUUAACUACCGAGCGGUGUGUCAGAGGGAGGUGGAAUUCCGCGUGUAGCAGUGAAAUGCGUAGAUAUGCGGAGGAACACCGAUGGCGAAGGCGGCAGGACUCAACACUGACGCUCAUGCACGAAAAGCCGGUGAGCAAAACCAGGUUAAGAUAUAUACCGGUAGUCCCGCGCUAAACGAUGUCAACCUGUGAAGGCCUUCGGGCCUUGGUGACACAGCUAACAUGGCGGGAGUUGACCGCCUGGAAGAUACGAUUGCCGGAGUCAACUCAAGAUUGACGAGGGGACCCACUUAGGCAGGUGGAUGAUGGUCAAUUCGAUGCAACGCGAAAAACCUUACCUGCUGAGCAUGUGAAUCCCAGAGAUUUGGGAGUGCUUCUCAGAAAGAACCGGAACACGGUGCUGCAUGGCGUCGUCGCUCAUUGUCGUGAGAUGUUGGGUUAGUCCCGCAACGAGCGCAACCCGCCAUCAUUAGUUUACUUGCUACGAGGAACACUCUAAUGAGACUGCCGGUGACAAACCGGAGGAAGGUGGGGAUGACGUCAAGUCCUCAUGGCCCUUAUGGGUAGGGCUUCACACGUCAUACAAUGAACGUCGGGACAGGUCGCCAACCCGCGAGGGGAGCCAAUCCCAGGAAACUGAUCGUAGUCCGGAUCGCAGUCUGCAACUCGACUGCGUGAAGUCGGGAUCGCUAGUAAUCGCGGAUCAGCAUGUCGCGUUGGUGCCCACAGGGUCUUGUACACACCGCCCGUCACACCAUGGGAGUGGGUUUUGCUUAGAAGUAGUUAGCCUAACCGUAAGGGCGAUUACCACGGUAGGAUUCAUGACUGGGGUGAAGUCGUAACCAAGU
rnacentral:rRNA from 1 species